GGGGUUAACAUGCCUGCCUGUCACGCAGGAGAUCGCGGGUUCAAAUCCCGUCGGGACCGCCA
rnacentral:tRNA from 1 species